GCGGGUGGGUGGGGGGCCCGGGGCGGAAGCCGGGUCCAGCCGGCAGAAGAUCCGGGGCUGGGGAAAAAAGGGUAGUCCUGCGAAGACUGAAGGGUGAGGACGGGGCGCCCACUCUGCGCGUGAUCGCCGGCCCUGCGCGUGCGCCCUGGCGCGGCCCGGGUGACAGGUACCUCCCUCUGCAGGAUAUCAUGUGUAUGGAAUGUCUUUCCCAGAAGCUAAAGGAAGCAGUAACCCUCUAUCUCAGAGUCGUGAAGGUUGUGGAUCUCUGUGCAGGGUGGCGGUGGGAAUUUGUGCCAAGUGGGUGUGGAAACUUCUCAUUUGGAAUUAGUAGAAUCUGUUUGGACAUAUAUGCCACAUGUUCACAUUUUGGGGAAAUUUUGUAAUCGUAAUAGAGCAUUUCCAAUUCCUCUUGAAAAUAAACUGAAAAUUCCUGAAGGGCCAAAAUUCAAACUUCACAUUUAGUUGGUCAACUGGCAUGAUUUUGCUUUUUUUGACCCUGUGAUGUAUGAGAGUUUGUGGCAGUUUAUCCUCGCCUCUCAAAGUUCAGAUGCUGAUGCUGUUUUCUCUGCAAUGGAUUUGGCAUUUGCAAUUGACCUGUGUAAAGAAGAGGGUGGAGGGACAGGUAAAGCAAGCUACUUGGAAAAAUCAUAUAAUCAUCAGAAAAGCUGGACCCAAAGCACACAAAAACAUGGAGACUCUAGAAUACCCAGAGGAGAAAAUGCUGAGAAGCUCUUGCAGUUCAAGUGUUGGUUCUGAUCAAUAGUGGAGAAGAUGAGCAUGACAGAAAGACAAGAUCUUGUUUAUUUUUGGACAUCAAGGCCAUCAUUACCAGCCAGUGAAGAAGGAUUUCAGCCUAUGCCCUCAAUCACAGUAAGACCACCAGAUGACCAACACCUUCCUACUACAAAUACUUGCAUUUCUCGACUUUAUGUCCCACUCUAUUCCUCUAAAUAGAUUCUCAAACAGAAGUUGCUACUUGCCAUUAAGACCAAGAAUUUUGGUUUUGUGUAGAGUAUAAAAAGUGUGUAUUACUAGCUAAUUUUGUAGAUUUUUUUUUUCCCAUUUGUUUAUAAAAGUUUAUGGAAGUUAAUGCUGUCACACCCCCUGGUGGUACCUUAAAGAGAUUAAAUGCAAACAUUCCUUGCUGAGUUUGUAGCUUAAAGGCCAGAGAAGCACUGGUAACAUUUGACUAUAAUGGUUUGCUAGUCAACAACUUCUGGUUCUAACCCCAGCCAAAGAUGACAGCAGAACAACAUAAUUUACAUUAUGAUUUAUCUUUUUGCUGAGGGGAAAAAAUGUAAAAUGUUAUGAAAAUUCACUGCUGCCUUUGUGUAAAGUGUUUCAGAAAAGGUUCUUGUAUAGAGGGAAUAGGGAAUUUCAAAAUAAAAAGUUAAGUAUG